rnacentral:rRNA from 1 species
UACGCAGGUGGCUAGCGUUGUCCGGAAUCAUUGGGCGUAAAGCGCGCGUAGGCGGCCCGGUAAGUCCGCUGUAAAAGUCAAAGGCUCAACCUUUGAAUGUCAGUGGAUACUGCCGGGCUAGAGUCCGGAAGAGGCGAGUGGAACUCCUGGUGUAGCGGUGGAAUGCGCAGAUAUCAGGAAGAACACCGACGGCGAAGGCAGCUCGCUGGGACGGUACUGACGCUGAGGCGCGAAAGCGUGGGGAGCGAACAGG